rnacentral:rRNA from 1 species
UCGUAACAAGGUUUCCGUAGGUGAACCUGCGGAAGGAUCAUUACAGAAUAAACUUGGUAGAUUGUUGCUGGCUCCCAUGGAGCAAGUGCACGUCUAUCAUUUUUGUCUUUCCACCUGUGCACACUCUGUAGGUCUAAAAGUUGUCUCUCCAAAGUAUUCUUUGGGUUUUGGGUCUGUCGUGCUUUAUUGCCGACUUACCUUGUGCUUUUCAGAUCUACGUUUUUAUAUCUACUCCAGAAUGUAACAGAAUGCAUCAAUGGCUAUUCAUGCCAAUAAAACUUUAUACAACUUUCAGCAACGGAUCUCUUGGCUCUCGCAUCGAUGAAGAACGCAGCGAAAUGCGAUAAGUAAUGUGAAUUGCAGAAUUCAGUGAAUCAUCGAAUCUUUGAACGCACCUUGCGCUCCUUGGUAUUCCGAGGAGCAUGCCUGUUUGAGUGUCAUUAAAUUAUCAACCGCUCUGAUUUAUUUUCGGAUGCGGAUUGGAUUUGGGAGCUGCAAGCUUUAUUUAAAAGCUGGCUCUCCUCAAAAGCAUUAGCUGGAACGUCUCUGUGAGCUGUCCCAUCGGUGUGAUAAUUAUCUACGCUAUGUGGUCAGUUUGCCUUGAAUGAGAACUCUGCUUCUAAUCGUCCUUUGGACAGCUUUUAUUACUUGACCUCAAUCAGGUAGGACUACCCGCUGAACUUA